AGAUAAAAAAAGGCCCAAAACUAUUCCAAUUGUUUUGGGCCCAGGGGAAUGGCUCAUAAAGAGCCGUGCGCUAUUCGGUCGCAAAAGGGGAUUAAAGAACACUGUCACUGAGUGUAGAACAGCAUUUCAGCGUUUGCUGAAA
rnacentral:sRNA from 1 species